GAGAAGGGAGCUCAGUGGAAAACAUCAGUUGUGCCCACGCACCCAACUGUUCCAGUAACAUAAAAGCAACAGCAGUUGGAGAUACUUAAGGCAGCCAUGGUAUUGACAGAAAAAGACUCUGGAUUUGGAUUGCAGCUGUAGCAUUUAUUAAAUGCACGUCACAACCUCUCUGAGCUUCGUUUUCCCCACGUUUCAAAUGGGAUGCAGUGGACCCUGUUGCCUACCCGAGUGAAGAUAAGAAUACCUAUUUUAAAGUUCUGUUGUGAGGUUCAAGUGCCACAUAUGGGGCCACCAGAAGCUGUUGGCGCCCCUCCCACAUCCCUGUGGUCCACUCAGGAGGUUAACUGCAGUCAGCUGUCAUUCUGCUGGUGGCUUCCUGCGUCUUUCUGCCUGAGCUUGUUCUUUGGCCCUGGAGGAACCCUCCACCAAUGAGAGAUGGGAAUUGUUGGAUAAAAGUCCCAGCUUCCACUCCAAGGCAUGUUCAUGAUCCAUGCAGCCUCUGAGAGGCCUCCCAUGGGCCUGAGCCCCAGUUGCCCACACUGGUAAUACACACAUCUGCUCACUCUCCACUGGCUUUCCUCUCUCCCUUUCUCACUGCUUCACCUUCCCAAUGUGCCUCCUGGACCACGUCCCAAAUAAAUGAUUGCACUCAAAUCCUCGUCUUGGGGUCUGCUAAGGGGAAAUCCAAGUCCAGACAUUGGUAUGACUCAAGUGCUUAAUAAAUAGACCAUGUCACUAUUGUAGUUUCUAGAUACCCAAAAUUCAAAUGUGGGUCUCUCUGCUUAUAUUUUGUAUUUUCUAUGUAAAAAAUUCCCUAAAGCCCUCCAGGAAGGACUCCUCUCCCUGUGGCUCCAUGCCAGUCCUAUGCUCUGCAGCCAUAGGGAGGAUUGCUGUGCCAAUGCUCACAAACCUUGGGGCUGCCAUCCCCAAGACUCCUUGGACUCCAUACAAAGAUUGACCUUAGGAGGAGUGAGUCACAACAACUCCAUGUGAGUAUUGGGAGGCUUUAUAGGUUGAAUUAUGACUUUCCAAAGAGAUUUGUCUUAAACCACAAUUCCUUAAAAUGUGAUCUUAUUAGGCAACAGGGUCUUUGCAAAUGAAAGUUAAGAUGAAGUCAUUAGUGUGGUCCCCAAUUCAACAUGACUGGUGUCCUUAUUAAAAGUGGAGAUUUGGACACAGAAAGACACAAACAAGGAGAACACCAUGUGAAGAUUGGGAUCAUGUGACCAAAAGCCAAGGAACUACCAGAAGGUAAGAGAGAAGACCAGGAACAAAUCCUUUCCUAGUGCCUUCAGAGGGAGUGUGACCUAGUUGACACCUUGAUUUUGGACUUCUAGCCUCUGAAAUUGUGAGACAAUAAAUGCCUGUUGUUUAAGCCACCCAGCUUGUGGCACUUUGUUACAUCAGCCCUACCAGACUAAUAAAGGGGAAUUGUCUUUAUGUACUGCCUAUGUGUGGCUGCAGGAACCAUG
rnacentral:lncRNA from 10 species